UCCCUCCCUCCCUUCCUUCCUCCCCCCUACCCUUCUUUCUGAUUUUCAGUGAUGCUUGAAGCUCUGGCUUCAAGUCCAGCAAGUGGUCAAAAGGUAGAAAGCGAAGAACAGCUUCCUUUCUUGCUGAGCUGUGCCUUUGGUGCAGUGGGAAGCCUUCCUGCAGCCGCAGAAUGAACUGCACCUUCUCUUCCAUAAGCCAGGAUGUGUACCUAUAUAACUGCUGCACAGGACCACUGACCUCCUCUGCUGCGCAAACAGCAAAAACAGAAAGGAAAGGAAUUCAGAGCAUGAGAGAUGCUACAGAUGAGAGGUUGCAGGGGGCUAACCCAGCUCCUGGAGACGUAUUAAGAGCAAGUUCUGUUGCUACCACUCACUGCCUUCAGUUAGCCACGGCUGUUUCCCUGACUCCCAGCUCUGCAAUGGGUGUGUUCCACCCACCAGCCCCUCCCUGCUUAUCCUGAUGCACCUGCCACAUCUUGCUUCACACAUGUGUCUCUGGCUGGAGAGCAGAACCCACCCUCUUGCUAAUCAAGCAACCAGAGCAAGUUCAUGGGAGAUAACUGUGGCUGGGUAGAUAAUUCCUCCCUAGAGAAACUUCGGCCUCCUGGGUGUAUGACCAUUUGAUGGACAGGCCAGCAGGACCCUUUCCAGAGCUUUGGUGGGCUGUGUGCUGGGUACUUCCAGCCAGACUUAAGUUGAGAGAUAAAACCUUUGAACCCAGCUGGGUUCUUGUUCCUUCACUGCCCAGAGCCUCGGGGAGGGUUUGUCUCCUGGGUUCCAGUGCACCUGAAUGCUCUACCUGCCUCCAGGCAAGUUCCCACCUGGAUCUGGGUGGCCAGGCUAGGCUACCAUAUUAGUACUGGUGGCUCUCUUGAUCUUCCAUCCAAGUUAUGCACAGCAAAGACAGAGCUGGACCGCAGGAAGGGAGCCCCUCACUCAUGACUACCCUUGUUUAGUGCACACAGCAGAAGCUCCCUGCGGCCUGCAGCUACCUACUCAUUUUUUAAAUUAUGUUUUAAUUUAUUCCAUGUGUCUGGGUGUUUGCCUACGUGUAUGUUUAUGCAUCACUUGUGUUCCUGUGUCUGGUGCUCACAGAGGCCAGAAGAGGGCACGGGGUUCCCCGGAGCUGGAGUUACAGUCAGUUGUGAGUUUCUGUGUGGGUUCUGGAAAUUAAACCUGGAUCCUCUAGAAGAACAGCCAAUACUUUUAACUACUGACCCAUCCUUUCAGCCCCCUACUUAGUUCUCUUUAAAGAUAGCCUUGACGUUCAGGGGGACUGGAAUCAGAUGGCAUUGAAAUUUGUCUAAGACAUAAGGGGCUUGGUAAUCCUCACCCUAACUCAGCUCAGGCCCUACACUUUGAGAGUGCUCCAAUCCUACUUGUCAAACGAAUGAACCACUCUUGGGCAUUGCCUGAGAUGUUUACUUCAUUCUGGAUAGUGUUCACAAACCUUUUUGGUGACCAGUAACACACAUAAAGAGCGAGGCUGCAGACUUCUGUACUCAGCUGCCUGUUUUGGUGGCUGCACUGGGAAGACUUCAGUUUCCACAGACCUGGGUUGUGCUCCAGAUUUAUAGAUGGUAGCAGAAGGCAAGGCCAGCCAUGCGUUUAACAAGAGAAAUGAGUGUCUGGACUGUGAUGAUGAUGGUGGUGAUGGCGAUGGUAUUGAUGACUCUUUGACAGAGUCUUUCUAUGUAACCCAGGGUGGCUGUGAACUCACAACUGUCUUGUCUUAGUCUACUAUGAUAUAAUUUUUGGCUAUAAAGAGCACAUCUAUCACUUUUGUAUUUUUGAGUGUAUUGUAAUGGCACUAAGUAUAGUCACAUCAUGGUGCAAACACUCCCAUCUGUUAUCUCCAGAACAUUGCCAUCACAUCAAACUAAAACUCUGUUCACCAAACAACAGAUGCCCAUUUCUCCUCUCUCCCAGGCUCCGAGAACCACAAUUAUUUCCAUGUCUGUGACUCAGACUCUUCUAGGUAUCUCAUAUAAGUAGAGUCAUAUAACAUUUGUUCUUUCUUAAAAAUGUAAAACUACACGGAGAAACCCUGUUUUGAAAAAGCCAAACAAAAAAUGUAAUUAAUUACAAUUUUAUGGUUAUGGGGGUACGUGUGCCAGGGCCGACAUGGGAAGGUCUGAGGAAAACUUUGUGGAAUUGGUUCUUCUCUUUCCACAUUUACGUGGGUGCCUGGAACUGAACUCAGGUUGCUAAAUUCGUGUAGCCAGUCCCUCUACCCACUUAGCCAUCUUUCCUGCCCCCUUUGAUCUUUUUUGAAUUCCUGAUUUUAGUUAUCACGAUGCCCUCAGGGUUCUUCCAUGUUGUAAUAUGCCCCAGAGUGUCUUUCCUUUGUAAGGCUGAGUCACCUUCCUUGGGAUGUACAGACCACACUUAGCUCAUCCAUUUGUCUUUGGCGGACCCCUCAGUUUUGAAUGUUUCUUUGGGUUCCCCUACACAGUGAGCUGAUGUCCCUCUUCGUGUGGCUCACAUCCAAAGCAGAGCUGUUUACUUCUCCAAGAAAUCACUAGAUUUGAAGAGAGGGCCUGAAUUCCCUCACCACCCUUCAAAGGCCAAAAGUUACACUGGGUGCUUCGUAACUUCCGGACAAUUUGUCUUUGUCACUUAAGUGUUUAGGCUCAUGUCAACCUACUCAUCUCCUUUUGAGAAGAAAUGAUUCUAAAUGGAAUUGAUCUCUACCAGCUCUGGGUACAGCUUCUCUUCUCUGGACACCUCAACAAUGAACGCCCUGCCCCCCUUUUGGCUAUAUGUUAUUGAUUCAGUCAUCAAACAUUUUUAUUGGUUGUCUAGUGAAGGCAAUCGAUGUAGUAUCUUGGAACUUGACCUCUGGAUCCAGAUUUCCUAGGUCAGGAUCUAAGUUACACCCUUAACCAUGUACUACUAUUGAUUCUGUAGGUUUCUUCACUUCGCGGAACUUCCAGUUCCUUAUCUGACCCACCUCAUUGGGCUGUUGUGAAGAGUAAAUGAACUGGUGUGUUGAAAACGGAAGAGGGGUUGGCCCUCCAUAAACGUGCUGUUUCACCGCACGGGCAGGGCAUUGGGCAGGGCAUUGGCCCAGGCGCUGGGAAUGGCAGCCGGCCAGGCUGACCAGCAACAGAGCCUUUGUGGUUCGCAGUCUAGGGAAAAUGGCUAGGCUGCUAAGCCAUUUUAUGACAGCUUGGAUUUAUGCACAGGCAAAUGGGUAAUUAAAAGAUACCUUUUUAUACAGAGACUAACCUCAGUCAGUUAUACUUCGGCAAAUCUUAGGAUCGGAGAGUACAAGUCAGGAGAGCAUGAAAAUGGAGCCCCUAGCUCUUUCUCACUUACUCACCCAUUCAUUAAAAACAAACACUUGUUAGGGUCCUACAGUGUAUAGAUCUUAGAAAAUGUCAGUGAAAAAAAAAACAAAA